AUACUUACCUGGCAGGGGAGAUACCAUGAUCACGAAGGUGGUUUUCCCAGGGCGAGGCUUAUCCAUUGCACUCUGGAUGUGCUGACCCCUGUGAUUUCCCCAAAUGUGGGAAACUCGACUGCAUAAUUUGUGGUAGUGGGGGACUGCGUUCGCGCUCUCCCCUA
rnacentral:snRNA from 1 species